AAGCCACUAGCUCUCAAAAUGAAAUGAUCUUAGCACUUUGAAGUUGACCUCACUCUCUAAGAAAAUAGGAAUAUGAUCCGAAACAAAACUUGAGAGGGCUCUUUGAAUGGAGGAUGGAAAUAAAUCAUCCCACUCUAAAGAAAGCAAAAACCUAUCAAGCCUUGCCAUUGACGGACGGUGUCGCUUGUUGCUCCAAGUGU
rnacentral:lncRNA from 1 species